GGUCCGGUGGUGUAGUUGGUUAUCACACUCGCUUCACAGCGCAUGUCAUGAUUACAUGACGUAGGACUCGCGAGAGGUCAUGAGUUCGAGCCUCGUCCGGAUCA